GGGGUUGUGGCUCAGUUGUAGAGUGCUUGCCCAGCAUGCAUGAUGUACUGGGUUCAAUCUCCAGCACCACA
rnacentral:tRNA from 1 species